AUGCUCUGGUUUCUCUUCAGAACGAACAAAUCUUUCGCCUCUUACUAAAGAUUUCCGUGGAGAGGAGCAAAACCGAGUUGAUGAGAGUUCCCUUGUGCUGCCUCAGUUGAAUCUC